GGAGGGGGGUGGUGUGAGGGGGGUCAAACUGUGUUAAAAACCUGUUAAGCUCGUCAGCAAACUUGAUGUCCCUGCAGCCCUGCUGGUGGUGUUCCUCUGCCCAAAGCUGGAGAAGGCAGUAGAACAGCUCAGCAAAAACAGGAAGAGACAGCAGAGACGGAGGAACAGGCCAGAAUGAGGAGACAGAGAUGGAACAAGAAGCUG